rnacentral:rRNA from 1 species
CGUGCCCUACGGGACGCAGCAGUGGGGAAUAUUGCACAAUGGGGGAAACCCUGAUGCAGCGACGCCGCGUGAGUGAAGAAGUAUUUCGGUAUGUAAAGCUCUAUCAGCAGGGAAGAAGAAAGACGGUACCUGACUAAGAAGCCCCGGCUAACUACGUGCCAGCAGCCGCGGUAAUACGUAGGGGGCAAGCGUUAUCCGGAUUUACUGGGUGUAAAGGGAGCGUAGGCGGAGAAGCGAGUCUGAAGUGAAAGCCCGUGGCUUAACCACG